rnacentral:rRNA from 1 species
ACCCCAUGGAGCUUUAAACCUGACAACACCCAUUUAUCUUUUACCCUAGUAUUCAUUAGGCCCUGUUUGUUUGGUUUUAGGUUGGGGUGACCACGGAGUAUAAAAUAACCUCCAAGAAAAAUGGACCAACAAUCCUUAUCAAAGAACUACAAUUCUAUGAAUUAAUAAAUUAAUUUUUAAUGACCCGAUAUUUAUUCGAUCAACGAACCAAGUUACCCUGGGGAUAACAGCGCAAUCCACUUUAAGAGCCCAUAUCGACAAGUGGGUUUACGACCUCGAUGUUGGAUCAGGGUAUCCUAGUGGUGCAGCAGCUACUAACGGUUCGUUUGUUCAACGAUUAAAACCCU